AUUGAACGCUGGCGGCAGGCCUAACACAUGCAAGUCGAGCGGAUGAAGGGGGCUUGCUCCUGGAUUCAGCGGCGGACGGGUGAGUAAUGCGCAGGAAUCUACCUCGUAGUGGGGGAUAACGUCUCGAAAGGGGCGCUAAUACCGCAUACGUUCUGAGGAAGAAAGCAGGGGACCUUCGGGCCUUGCGCUAUGAGAUGAGCUUGCGUCCGAUUAGCUAGUUGGUGGGGUAAAGGCCUACCAAGGCGACGAUCGGUAACUGGUCUGAGAGGAUGAUCAGUCACACUGGAACUGAGACACGGUCCAGACUCCUACGGGAGGCAGCAGUGGGGAAUAUUGGACAAUGGGGGCAACCCUGAUCCAGCCAUGCCGCGUGUGUGAAGAAGGCCUC
rnacentral:rRNA from 1 species